rnacentral:rRNA from 1 species
GACGAACGCUGGCGGCGUGCUUAACACAUGCAAGUCGAACGGAAAGGCCCUGCUUUUGUGGGGUGCUCGAGUGGCGAACGGGUGAGUAACACGUGAGUAACCUGCCCUUGACUUUGGGAUAACUUCAGGAAACUGGGGCUAAUACCGGAUAGGAGCUCCUGCUGCAUGGUGGGGGUUGGAAAGUUUCGGCGGUUGGGGAUGGACUCGCGGCUUAUCAGCUUGUUGGUGGGGUAGUGGCUUACCAAGGCUUUGACGGGUAGCCGGCCUGAGAGGGUGACCGGCCACAUUGGGACUGAGAUACGGACCAGACUCCUACGGGAGGCAGCAGUGGGGAAUAUUGCACAAUGGGCGGAAGCCUGAUGCAGCAACGCCGCGUGCGGGAUGACGGCCUUCGGGUUGUAAACCGCUUUCGCCUGUGACGAAGAGUGAGUGACGGUAAUGGGUAAAGAAGCACCGGCUAACUACGUG